rnacentral:rRNA from 1 species
UACAGAGGGUGCAAGCGUUGUUCGGAAUUAUUGGGCGUAAAGCGCGUGUAGGCGGCUUUGCAAGUCGGGUGUGAAAUCCCUCAGCUCAACUGAGGAAGUGCGCCCGAAACUGCAGAGCUUGAAUACCGGAGAGGAUGGCGGAAUUCCCCAAGUAGAGGUGAAAUUCGUAGAUAUGGGGAGGAACACCGGUGGCGAAGGCGGCUCUCUGGGACGGUACUGACGCUGAGACGCGAAAGCGUGGGGAGCGAACAGG